rnacentral:tRNA from 1 species
ACCUGGGUGGCUUAGUUGGUUAAAGCAUCUGAUUCUUAGUUUCGGCUCAGGUCAUGAUCUCAGGGUCAUGGGAUCCAGUCCAAUCUCGGGCU